GACGAACGCUGGCGGCGUGCUUAACACAUGCAAGUCGAACGGAAAGGCCCUGCUUUUGUGGGGUGCUCGAGUGGCGAACGGGUGAGUAACACGUGAGUAACCUGCCCUUGACUUUGGGAUAACUUCAGGAAACUGGGGCUAAUACCGGAUAGGAGCUCCUGCUGCAUGGUGGGGGUUGGAAAGUUUCGGCGGUUGGGGAUGGACUCGCGGCUUAUCAGCUUGUUGGUGGGGUAGUGGCUUACCAAGGCUUUGACGGGUAGCCGGCCUGAGAGGGUGACCGGCCACAUUGGGACUGAGAUACGACCCAGACUCCUACAGGAGGCAGCAGUGCAGAAUAUUUCACAAUGGGCGGAAGCCUGAUGCAGCAACGCCGCGUGCGGGAUGACGGCCUUCGGGUUGUAAACCGCUUUCGCCUGUGACGAAGCGUGAGUGACGGUAAUGGGUAAAGAAGCACCGGCUAACUACGUG
rnacentral:rRNA from 1 species